rnacentral:rRNA from 1 species
CAGAACGAACGCUGGCGGCAUGCCUAACACAUGCAAGUCGAACGAAGCCUUCGGGCUUAGUGGCGCACGGGUGCGUAACGCGUGGGAAUCUGCCCUUGGGUUCGGAAUAACAGUUAGAAAUGACUGCUAAUACCGAAUGAUGUCUUCGGACCAAAGAUUUAUCGCCCAAGGAUGAGCCCGCGUCGGAUUAGCUAGUUGGUGAGGUAAAGGCUCACCAAGGCGACGAUCCGUAGCUGGUCUGAGAGGAUGAUCAGCCACACUGGGACUGAGACACGGCCCAGACUCCUACGGGAGGCAGCAGUGGGGAAUAUUGGACAAUGGGCGAAAGCCUGAUCCAGCAAUGCCGCGUGAGUGAUGAAGGCCUUAGGGUUGUAAAGCUCUUUUACCCGGGGUGAUAAUGACAGUACCGGGAGAAUAAGCCCCGGCUAACUCCGUG